GCAAAGAGCGCGAACAGGAGGAGGAUGGCCUUCGACGACGACGCCAUGGAUAUCGAUCGGUCAGGAGAAUGGCAAAUCAAGAAGAGAUGCAGGAAAGAUAUCUCCUGAGGUACUGUGUGGAAUUAUUUGCUGGUGGCCAGAGACAUAUAAAGAGCUGACACACACGGCUGCUCGAUCGUAGCCGCAGACGGUGCAACAUAUAGCAGACGCAUAUCCCGGGAUUGGAGCAUGGAAUUCAUCUCCUUCCCAGCUCCUGUCCGUCCUCUCCAGCGAAAAUUAAGGAUGCGGUGAUCUUAAUUUGAUCGGCAUGGACGGGACUCCCCAGAUCAUACAUACCUUUCUAAAUUGCUCUUUCCUCUUAUCAUAGCAUCUUUUUUAUGGUAAUUGUCUUCGCUUCAUUUGAUCGGCAUGGACCGUAGUUUGUCUUCCGGAGCCAAAAUAUCUAGGGUACUAGUUUCCGUUUUGCUAUACACCAGGCGCCUGGUGUUUUUUUAAAAAAAACAGGCAAUUUUUGGACCGUGCGAUCGUUGCGCCAAGAUCCGUAAAAUUCUGGUUGUGUUUUCAUUCUUUUUUCUUUUUUGCUCGAUAGCUUCCUUCUGCAUUUCUCAGUCCGCCUCCCGUGACCCCGUCCCAACCACUCCUUCCUGGUGCCUCACUCCGGCGCUGCACCGGCCGCCGCCGUCGCCUCUGCUGCUCCAUCCUCCGUCUCUUCUGCUGUGCCGCACUGACGCGGGCUCGUUGCCGCCGCCGACUCUGCUGCGCCAUCCCCCGUCCCUGCUGCUGUGCCCGGUAAGCUGGUGCUCCACUUGUGGCCGUGUUCUUCGUCGGCCGUUUCUGUGCACUUUGCUCGCGUUUCACGGUGCUUUCUGCUGUUGGACAGAGGAGAGGUCAGGGGAGUUCGUUAGCGGCAGCUCCUCGUGGUUGGUGGAAGGAGGAUGUGGUGAGGUAUUGGCUGCAGAAGCUGUUGUUCGUUUCUCUUCAGUCACCUAUCAUCUGGUUCAUGGCGGGGCAUGGUGAGUUUUUGCCUUGCUCGUACCCUUGUUCGAUGUAUGGGCCUCAUCGAUUUUGGAGUGUAUGUGUUGAUUGGCGUCAUGAACUAUAGCUUGUGUUGGCUGUAGAUGGCAAGGGCUGUGAUGCGCCUGGUCAGAUGGAUUUGUACACUUACUCCACUCGUUUCUGAUAUGAUUUGUGUUUGUUUUGGUCGUGGCGGGGGUUGUAAUGUAUCCUGACUUUUCAUAUUCAGAUUUCUUAGUGGAGAUUUGAUUUUUGUGUCCAUUGUGUUGUUCAUGAUAUGUUGUGGAUCUGUCACUGUGCUUGCAAUGGUUUUUAGGUAGUGUUCAUUUGUUCCCUUAUGUGCUGUGAAACCAUUUAGGGGUAGUGGAUCUGUCUCUGUACCACCAUUUAGUUGCCCUAGCUGUUCAUUUUUUCUUGAAAAUGCUUUUAGGUACUGCCAAUCUGUUCACCAGGGAAUGCUCGUUUUGUUAUAUCUGAAGUGAUUUAGCUCCGGCAGUUGGUUUAUAUGGGGGUUUCAUGAUUUAAUUUAAUUUAUUUUUAUUCCUUUAAUGCUUGUUAUCAGGGAUGACUGUAGCAUAUUCUGCAUGAAGUUUAUGGAGUUGUUCAGUCGUCAAGUGCUGCUGCACGACAAGAUUUCUCAUAGGAACAUUUUCAAUUUUCGCGUCAAAAUUGCGAAUGGCAUGCUCAUUUCUUCAACUUAGUCCAUAAUGUAAAGGAAAUGGUUCUUCAGUUGUCUCAAUAGUUACUACUUUCUUAUCUGGAGUCUGGUGUCUUUUUUUGCUUGUGCUUGAUUAUUCUAUCAUCUAGAAACUGUUUAUUAUUC